GGGCCCUUAGCUUAGUUGGUAGAGCACCUCAUUUGCAAUGAGGGGGUCAAGAGUUCGAAUCUCUUAGGGUCCA
rnacentral:tRNA from 1 species